UCGCCUGUUUAUCAAAAACAUUACACCAUGUCCUCUUAUGUGGUGCACGACUGCCCAGUGAAUUUUCAACGGCCGAGGUACCCACCCCUCGUUAAAGUAGCGCAAUCCUGCGCCCCUUAAUUAGGGGAUAGAAUGAAAGAUCUCACAAAGGAUAAACUGUCUCCUCCCUAUUUAUAAAAAUUUAUUUCAGGGUGAAAAAGCCCUUAUCAACCAUUUAGACAAACAGUCCCUGGAAGCUCCCAGGAUUACUUUCAUUUUUAAACCCUAAUCCUGUUGGCUGGGAUGGCCCAAAUCUACCCGAUUUUAUUUUUAAGAAGUAAUCAUUCAAUUCUAUUAAACUCCCCAAACUUAAUAAGCUACUCCAGGGAUAACAGGCUAAUAGUUUUAUCGAGCUCCCAUCCACAAAACUGUUUGGCACCUCGAUGUUGGCUUAGGGAUCCUAUUUAUCGCAAAAG
rnacentral:rRNA from 1 species